UGGGGAAUUUUGGACAAUGGGCGAAAGCCUGAUCCAGCCAUUCCGCGUGCAGGAUGAAGGCCCUCGGGUUGUAAACUGCUUUUGGACGGAACGAAAAGCGCCUGGCUAAUACCUUGGCGUCAUGACGGUACCGUCAGAAUAAGCACCGGCUAACUACGUGCCAGCAGCCGCGGUAAUACGUAGGGUGCAAGCGUUAAUCGGAAUUACUGGGCGUAAAGCGUGCGCAGGGCGGUGAUGUAAGACAGAUGUGAAAUCCCCGGGCUCAACCUGGGAACUGCAUUUGUGACUGCAUCGCUGGAGUGCGGCAGAGGGGGAUGGAAUUCCGCGUGUAGCAGUGAAAUGCGUAGAUAUGCGGAGGAACACCGAUGGCGAAGGCAAUCCCCUGGGCCUGCACUGACGCUCAUGCACGAAAGCGUGGGGAGCAAACAGGAUUAGAUACCCUGGUAGUCCACGCCCUAAACGAUGUCAACUGGUUGUUGGUCCUUCACUGGAUC
rnacentral:rRNA from 1 species